rnacentral:misc_RNA from 1 species
AAAUGCGAUAAGUAAUGUGAAUUGCAGAAUUCAGUGAAUCAUCGAAUCUUUGAACGCACAUUGCGCUCCUUGGUAUUCCUUGGAUCAUGCCUGUUUGAGUAUCAUGAAAUCUUCAAAGUAAAUCUUUUGUUAACUCAAUUGGUUUCUACUUUGGUAUUGGAGGUCUUUGCAGCUUCACACCUGCUCCUCUUUGUUCAUUAGCUGGAUCUCAGUGUUAUGCUUGGUUCCACUCGGCGUGAUAAGUUAUCUAUCGCUGAGGACACUGUAAAAGGUGGCCAAGGUAAAUGCAGAUGAACCGCUUCUAAUAGUCCAUUGACUUGGACAAUACUUUUAUGAUCUGAUCUCAAAUCAGGUAGGACUACCCGCUGAACUUAAGC